UGGCAAUCACCGUCCACAUUUCAUCUGAGACUGGACAGUUUUUAAAAAAAAAAUGAGAUUGACGUAUACAAAAAUCUAGCUUUGGACUUUCCACCCCUGAUUUUAGUCAAAUGCUUUAGAGAAUGUCUGAAAGCAUCAAAUCUCUCCCAGCUACAUAAACGAGCUCAGGGUUAUGGCCCCUUCCUUCCUACCCUGUGAACUGCUGAUUAAGGGAACUUGUGGCUACAAUUACUGCAAAGAAAUGUAUCUUCAAGGUCGAGGGGAACAAGUACCGCAAUAAAGAAGCCUAUUUACUUAAUCCGCCUCUGGGUCCUCCUGCUCCUUCUCUAACAGAAAUGUAUGUAGCAACAUUAUAUAUAAUGUUAUGAAAUCCCCCUGUAUGAUGUUAUUAGCACAAAAGUUGUUUAACAGGUCUAUCCUAAACAAAGGAAUGUGUGUUUAUCUCAAUUUACAUAUUAGUAGUAAACAGGGUCCUUGAGACAGCAAAAGGGGGAAAUGGUAGGAGAGAAGGCAAAUCUACAUUUCAGCAUAUACAGGGGAGGAG